rnacentral:rRNA from 1 species
AAUGAUUGAUAGGGAUAGUUGGGGGUGCUCCUGUUCAGCGGCCACCGGUGAAAUUCUAAGAUUCACUGAAGACUAACUUAUGCGAAAGCAACCACCAAGGAUUUCUUCUUUAAUCAAGAACGAAAGUUGGGGGAUCGAAGACGAUCAGAUACCGUCGUAGUCUCAACCAUAAACUAUGCCGACUAGGGAUGAGUGAACGUUGCAUUUUCGACUUCAUUCGCACCUUAUGAGAAAUCAAAGUCUUUGGGUUCCGGGGGGAGUAUGGUAGCAAGGCUGAAACUUAAAAGAAUUGGCGGUGGGGCACCACCACUAGUGGCGCCUGCGGCUUAAUUUGUCUCUACACGGGUAAACUUAACAGUACCAAACACAGCAAGGAUUGAAAGAAUGAGGAGCUGCUCUGGUUCU